rnacentral:misc_RNA from 1 species
UCUCCGUAGGUGAACCUGCGGAGGGAUCAUUACUGAGUGAGGGUUUAACCGCCCGACCUCCAACCCUUUGUGAAUCGUACUCGUUGCUUCGGGGGCGACCCUGCCGUCCGCGGCUGAGCGCCCCCGAAGGUCUCCAAACACUGCAUCUCUGCGUCGGAGUUUAAACAAAUUAAACAAAACUUUCAACAACGGAUCUCUUGGUUCCAGCAUCGAUGAAGACGCAGC